rnacentral:tRNA from 1 species
UGCGCGAGUGGCGGAAUGGUAGACGCGCAGGAUUUAGGUUCCUGUGUCUUAUGACGUGAGGGUUCAACUCCCUUCUCGCGCACCC